GCAGUCUCUCUCCACUUCCCCGCCGCAUGGAUCAGAUCGGGAGCCUCAGAUACCAGCCUCAGAUACCUAGCCGCCGGGCAAUCUCUCCAUCUCCAUUUCCCGCUUUUUCGAUUUCGGUCCUCCCUCGCUACCCUGCGCCUGCGCCCUGCGGCAACAACAGAUCGGGAAAUCCCGCGGAGCAGAAGAGAUGGAGAGAGAGGGGUACGGAGAGGGCGCCACAGAAAACCGAAACCUCUCUCGCCCCUGGUAUCGGUAAGGUUGUGUGUCAUGUUACAUCAGAGUGGCAUAUGGAAGAGGAAGGAAAGUCUGUUGUCCUCUGUCUACGCAGUUGCACAUGCAAUUUGAUGGAAACCAAAAGCAUUUGUGCAAAGCCUGUGGAGAAGAGACCACUAAGGCCAUUGUGAAGGAUAUUGGGGCUAAAAAAUUUGCUAUCCUUGUUGACGAGGCACGAGAUGCAUCUAUUAAGGAGCAAAUGGCUGUGGCUUUGAGGUAUAUGAACAACCAAGGAGAAGUAAUUGAGAGAUUUCUUGCAAUUAAACAUGUUCCAGACACGACAUCAGCUUCAUUGAAGUGAAAAUGGGAUAAAGGAUUUGGAACUCUGGACUGACAAUAAUGACAUCCAUGGGUCUAUAUGUGGUUCUUUAACAGCGAGAGGUGACAAAAAAGAUAGAGAUCUGCUUUUGUUGCUUAGGUCUGGUAGUACAAAGUUCAAUACGUUAAUUUCAAUGAAUAAGCGACGUGAGCAACUAUUCUUGGCUGAUGAUCUUGCCCAAUCAACAAGAAAAUCCAAGGCUGGUUUAUGUAUGGAGGAUUAUUUGAAGAAAUGGGACUACGAACUUCGCGGAAAGGCUUUGUUUAGGUUGUCUCAAAGUCCAUCGUUUGGCCAAAUUCUGAAGGACCUCGAGAACAAGCCAUAUGUAGGAAGGCCUCAAACCAAGUAGUUCAUGGAGGUCACUCAAAUCAGUAAAUUGGAGGUCAUUUCUUUGCUGAUAGAGACACUUUGUCCUGAGACAAUCCAUUUUGCUAUGAAAAAUCAAGGGAAGGCUAAUGAUUUCAUAAGCCAGUUGGAGGUUGUUGCUAAUACAAGCAUGACCUCAAAAACAAUGAUGGACGAUUGUUCUCUUCUCCAAUUUGGAGAAACUGGUACUAAAGAACUACUCAUUGUGAUUGAUGCCGCCGUACCGGCAGGUUCUUAUGAUCAUCUAGGGUUUUUUACCAUCAUUCUGGUUGGUCCUGAGGAAAAAGCAUUACUUGAUCCAAAAAUUAAGGAAGCCAGUGCGUUGACAUACGUUUAUUUCAAAGGUGUUCGGACUGGAAACAGAACAGCACAUGCUGGGCAGACGAAGGCCACUGGAAACGCUAAAACUGGGCAGAAGAAAGCCACUGGAAAUGUUGCUGGGCAGAAGAAAGCCACUGGAAAUGUUGCUGGGCAGAAGAAAGCUGCUGGAAAUGCCUAUGCUGGGCAGAAAAAGAAAAGAUGAGAUGGGCUGUUGCUGCAAUAAUUUUGAUUCGUCUCUUUGGUUCGAGUGACAGCAUUCCGUGAUUUGCGAAGCCUUAAAAUAUUUAGCCAAAAAAACAAUUACUGGAGAAGAGCAUGGUUAUCUGUUGCAUCUUGAAAGAUUGUGAAGCUUACUAAAUACUGAUUGUCUAUUAUGUCGACGAAGGAGAGAAUUUGUUGUGGUUUGAAACAGUGUAAUUUGGUGAAGGGAAAGAAAAUAGUGGCAUACAUGGGAUACACAUCAUUGUUCUAAACAUACCCUUGAAUUUUUGUUCUAUUUCAGCAGCUCUAAACACUUUGUUGGCACCAACGAAAGAUAAAACUAUAGUUAUUGCUCGUUGUGUAUUCUUUGGUCAUGUAAACCAGAUUUAUGCACCUGAAUGAAAUUGUUGCUUCAUUAAAUACUUA